UGUAGUCUAGUGGUUAAGACUCUACACUCUCAAUGUAGUGGGUACAGGUUUGAUCCCCAGUCA
rnacentral:tRNA from 1 species